rnacentral:rRNA from 1 species
CCGGCUCAGGACGAACGCUGGCGGCGUGCUUAACACAUGCAAGUCGAACGAUGAAGCCUUUCGGGGUGGAUUAGUGGCGAACGGGUGAGUAACACGUGGGCAAUCUGCCCUGCACUCUGGGACAAGCCCUGGAAACGGGGUCUAAUACCGGAUAAUACUUUUCUCUGCAUGGGGAAAGGUUAAAAGCUCCGGCGGUGCAGGAUGAGCCCGCGGCCUAUCAGCUUGUUGGUGGGGUAAUGGCCUACCAAGGCGACGACGGGUAGCCGGCCUGAGAGGGCGACCGGCCACACUGGGACUGAGACACGGCCCAGACUCCUACGGGAGGCAGCAGUGGGGAAUAUUGCACAAUGGGCGAAAGCCUGAUGCAGCGACGCCGCGUGAGGGAUGACGGCCUUCGGGUUGUAAACCUCUUUCAGCAGGGAAGAAGCGAAAGUG